UACGAAGGGGGCUAGCGUUGUUCGGAAUUACUGGGCGUAAAGCGCACGUAGGCGGAUAUUUAAGUCAGGGGUGAAAUCCUGGAGCUCAACUCCAGAACUGCCUUUGAUACUGGCGAGCUUGAGUUCGGGAGAGGUGAGUGGAACUGCGAGUGUAGAGGUGAAAUUCGUAGAUAUUCGGAAGAACACCAGUGGCGAAGGCGGCUCACUGGACUGGUACUGACGCUGAGGCGCGAAAGCGUGGGGAGCAAACAGG
rnacentral:rRNA from 1 species